ACUCUUUCCCUACACGACGCUCUUCCGAUCUGAAGGCAGCAGUGAGGAAUUUUCCGCAAUGGGCGAAAGCCUGACGGAGCAAUGCCGCGUGAAGGAUGACGGCCUGCGGGUUGUAAACUUCUUUUCUUAGAGAAGAAACUGACGGUAUCUAAGGAAUAAGCAUCGGCUAACCCCGUGCCAGCAGCCGCGGUAAUACGGGGGAUGCAAGCGUUAUCCGGAAUGAUUGGGCGUAAAGCGUCUGCAGGUGGUUUAAAAAGUCUAGUGUCAAAGCCCAAGGCUUAACCUUGGAUCGGCAAUGGAAACUUUUAGACUAGAGUGCGGUUGAGGUAGAUGGAAUUACCGGUGUAACGGUGAAAUGUGCAGAUAUCGGUAAGAACACCAACGGCGAAAGCAAUCUACUGGGCCAAAACUGACACUGAGAGACGAAAGCUAGGGGAGCGAAUAGGAUUAGAUACCCUAGUAGUCCUAGCUGUAAACGAUGGAAACUAAGUAUUGAGCGUAAGAGCAGUACUGUAGCUAACGCGUUAAGUUUCCCGCCUGGGAAGUAUGCUCGCAAGAGUGAAACUCAAAGAAAUUGACGGGGGCCCGCACAAGCGGUGGAGCAUGUGGUUUAAUUCGAUGCAACGCGAAGAACCUUACCGGGGAUUGACAUUUUGCGCAUUUCUUGGAAACGAGAAAGUCCAAACGCAUAAACAGGUGGUGCAUGGCUGUCGUCAGCUCGUGUCGUGAGACGUAAGGUUAAGUCCUGUAACGAGCGCAACCCUUAUUGUUAGUUGCUUGAAAAAGGAAACUAGUGAGACUGCCAGUUAUAAGCUGGAGGAAGGUGAGGAUGACGUCAAGUCAGCAUGCCCCUUAAAUCCCGGGCUACACACGUGCUACAAUGGUUGGGACAAAAAGAAGCUAACUCGUGAGAGCACGCAAACCUUAAAAACCCAAUCUCAGUUCGGAUUGGAGGCUGCAACUCGCCUCCAUGAAGCCGGAAUCGCUAGUAAUCGCAGGUCAGCCAUACUGCGGUGAAUACGUUCCCGGGCCUUGUACACACCGCCCGUCACACCAUGGAAGCUGAUUGGGCCCGAAGUCGUUGUAAACGCCUAAGGCACAGUUAGUGACUGGGGUGAAGUCGUAACAAGGUAGGGCUACUGGAAGGUGGCCCUG
rnacentral:rRNA from 1 species